GGCCCGAUGCCACGUCUCCGGUAGCCACAAGCCUUGACCGGAGAUGCUACAUUGUGCCGACAGAGAUUUUCACAUCUGAUAGGAACCUGUGGCUGUGAUUCAGUGGUACACAGAGCCGUUUUUUGUGAUUACACUU
rnacentral:snoRNA from 1 species